rnacentral:lncRNA from 1 species
GUGGGAUUUGUCAAAGUUGUCAAGAAAAAGGCCUAUUUCAAAUGAUCUCAAGCGAAAUUUAGGAUACGGUGGGGGGAUAGCCAGGCUAAGAAGUAUGAUAAUCCAAGUCUAGGGUGAUCCAGUAUGAUAGCAACAGGGCUACCAUUUGUCUAAUGGCUCAUUCCCCAUCAAAGGGAUAUGAUACUUCGUGUACCUUGUGCUCACAAACUCCCAAAGUAUGAGGUCAAGGUUGGUCUUAGGAACUAUGCUACAGCAUAAAGUGUCAGCUUGUUGCCAUCUGGUGCCCUCCUCACAGAUUUAGCACAAUGGGAUCUACCUCCAAAUGGAGGGAAACAGAGGCGUUGUAGAAAAGCCUGAUGGUAAGCCUGGUACCUUCAUGUGCAGUUUAGAUGUGGGCCUUGCCAGACCUACUAUAGGUUUGUGCAGGGGCUGGAGGGGUGUGGUGAGGGUGACAUCUGAAGCAAGUUGUGGAUGUGGGCUUGUCCAUCUCACAGUACCGAAUGACACCCAGGUUUUCAUUCAGAAAGCAAAGAUUCAGGGUAGGAGGACAUCUGACACCUGUCAUGGUGCACAUUGUAUGUAUCUCCUAAUGAGAGGUAAAGAUGCUUAUGAGACACAAGUCUCUCAAUCCAUAAGGAAACUUGUAACUCUAAGCAUGAUGGAGAUGUGCACAGUUCAUGUUGCCAAAUGAGAGCAUCUGCUCUAUGAGAAGACAGGAAAUUUCAGAAGGAGAGGUAGAAUCACCCUGAAAUGCCUUUUGCGCAGAAGGAAGAGUGUGUGCAUGAGGGCAAACAUCCGCCAAGCUCAGGAGCAGG